rnacentral:rRNA from 2 species
UGGGGAAUAUUGGACAAUGGGCGCAAGCCUGAUCCAGCCAUGCCGCGUGAGUGAUGAAGGCCCUAGGGUUGUAAAGCUCUUUCACCGGUGAAGAUAAUGACGGUAACCGGAGAAGAAGCCCCGGCUAACUUCGUGCCAGCAGCCGCGGUAAUACGAAGGGGGCUAGCGUUGUUCGGAUUUACUGGGCGUAAAGCGCACGUAGGCGGACUAUUAAGUCAGGGGUGAAAUCCCGGGGCUCAACCCCGGAACUGCCUUUGAUACUGGUAGUCUUGAGUUCGAGAGAGGUGAGUGGAAUUCCGAGUGUAGAGGUGAAAUUCGUAGAUAUUCGGAGGAACACCAGUGGCGAAGGCGGCUCACUGGACCAUUACUGACGCUGAGGUGCGAAAGCGUGGGGAGCAAACAGG